UAGAGAGAGACAUGCGCGCAUAUCAAUAAGCGGAGGAAAAGAAACUAACAAGGAUUCCUUAGUAACGGCGAGUGAAGCGGGAAGAGCUCAAAUUUGAAAUCUUCAAGGUUUUACCUUGACGAAUUGUAGUUUAAAGAAGUGUUUUCUGCUGAAGUUUUGGUAAAAGUUCUUUGGAAUAGGACAUCAUAGAGGGUGAGAAUCCCGUAUUUGACCAUUAUUUUCAGCUUUGUGAUACACUUUCAAAGAGUCGGAUUGUUUGGGAAUGCAGUCCAAAAUGGGUGGUAAAUUUCAUCUAAAGCUAAAUAUUGGCGAGAGACCGAUAGCGAACAAGUACCGUGAGGGAAAGAUGAAAAGAACUUUGAAAAGAGAGUUAAACAGUACGUGAAAUUGUCAAAAGGGAAGCGUUUGACACCAGUGUUGUUUUCUCGAAAAUCAAUUAAAAAUGGCUCGAUUUUGUAUUGUUGAGACCUUAAAAGCUCACUGUACAUUUUUCGUGUCUUUUUUAAUGCACUUUUCGUUUAACAAGUCAACAGUCAGUUUCUUUUGUUGUAAAGGGGUCAUUGGAAGGUGGCUUUCUUUUCGGAGAAAGUGUUUAUAGCCUUUGGCCUCUGCAAUCGGAGAGACUGAGGUCUGCAGCGUAGACUCUUCGGGGUUAGAUACAUUUGUGCUAAGUUAUAGCUUUUUAUAGACAACUUGUUGACUAUAAUUAGUCUUGUAGCUUACUCGCUUAUGCUAUUUUACCUACGCUUAGGAUGUUGAAGAUGUAGCACAUCAU
rnacentral:rRNA from 1 species